GAGUUUGAUCGUGGCUUACAGGACGAACGCUGGCGGCGUGCUUAACACAUGCAAGUCGAACGAGAAUCUAACUGAAAGAGUUUUCGGAACAAUGGAAGUAGAGGAAAGUCGGCGGACGGGUGAGUAACGCGUGAGGAACCUGCCUUGAAGAGGGGACAACAGUUGGAAACGACUAGCUAAUACCGCAUGAUGCAUAAGGGUCGCAUGAUUCUUAUGCCAAAGAUUUAUCGCUUCAAGUAUGGCCUCGACGUCUGAUUAGCUAGUUGGC
rnacentral:rRNA from 1 species